AAAAAAUGAAGAAGAAGAACCAUAGCAACAACUGGUAAAAAACGAAGAAGAAGAACCAUAGCAACAACCAGUAAAAAACGAAGAAGAACCAUAGCAACAACCGGUAAAAAAUGAAGAAGAAGAACCAUAGCAACAACCGAUAAAAAAUGAAGAAGAAGAACCAUAGCAACAACCGGUAAAAAAUGAAGAAGAAGAACCAUAGCAACAACCGGUAAAAAACGAAAGAGAAGAACCAUAGCACCAACAGGUAAAAAACGAAAGAGAAGAACCAUAGCACCAACAGG